AUGCAGCAGGAGGAGGCAUACGAAUUGAAGAAUAGUCAAACGGACGAUCCAAUGCUGGACUAUUGUUCACCAAAGAAAUGGGAACAAGAAGAAACUGUUGAAUGGGUAAGAAUAGAAAGGACUCCAGUGCAAGACUGACAGGAUUCAAGCAAUGUAAGCAAGAUUUCUCUGGGUCUUUUAUCUCCGUUGGUCUCAUUACUCCCACUCCAGGUCCUGCAGACAACGCUGUUGGCUCCUGUGGGAAGUUUCCAAAAUGGCUCAAGGCAUUUAGAAAUAAAGUACAUUCUUUGGUCACGGUAGAAACACUAAACAGUAUAUGUAAAAUGGCUAUCAGAAGACUCUGAAGAGUAGAGAGAAGAAACAGGACUUCUUAGGACCUGAAGAAAUACAUGAGCCUGACCCUAUGGAUUUGGAGAGGUUCUCAUGUCUUCUAACAUCCUCUAGGUUCAGAGAUGGGGAGCCCCAGAAGUUUAGAGAGGAGUUGCAGAAUAAGUCUGGAACACAGGAGCUGGAAGCCUGGAAGGGCAACAGCCAUCUGGUGGCCAUGAUCUGAAAAGCAUGAGGAUGAAAGACAAGAUGUUAGGAUUACACAGUGAAAGAGAUUUCAGAGUCUGUCUGUUGUGUCAGCCUGGACUGCCUAUCCCUCAAUAUCUGAU
rnacentral:lncRNA from 13 species